rnacentral:rRNA from 1 species
GAGACCCAUGCCUUUAGUUACUAACUUCUUCUCCGGAAGAGGUGUACUCUAGAGGGACUGCCCGUGCUAAAUGGGAGGAAGGAGUGGGCGACGGUAGGUCAGUAUGGUCCGAAACCCUUGGGCUACACGCGGCAUACAGUGGCCGGUACAACGGGCUGCAACUCCGAAAGGAGGAGCUAAUCUCUAAAACCGGUCGUGGUCCGGAUUGAGGGUUGAAACUCACCCUCAUGAAGAUGGAAUGGCUAGUAAUCGCGGGUCACUAUCCCGCGGUGAAUGA